AAGUCGUAACAAGGUUUCCGUAGGUGAACCUGCGGAAGGAUCAUUAAUGGUGCUUGCAGAAAUGCUUGCACGGCGGCGGCCUUAAAACGCGCCAAAUGGCACCCUUUGUUUACGAGUACCGUUCGUUUCCUCGGUGGGCUUGCCUGCCAUGAGGACCAACAAAAACCUUUUGUAGUAGCAGUAUCUUCAGUAAAAACAAAUAUUAAAACUUUCAACAACGGAUCUCUUGGUUCUGGCAUCGAUGAAGAACGCAGCGAAAUGCGAUAAGUAGUGUGAAUUGCAGAAUUCAGUGAAUCAUCGAAUCUUUGAACGCACAUUGCGCCCUUCGGUAUUCCGUUGGGCAUGCCUGUUCGAGCGUCAUUUAAUCAUUCAAGCUCUGCUUGGUGUUGGGUGUUUGUUCCGCCUCAGCGCGUGGACUCGCCUUAAAUUCAUUGGCAGCCGGUAUGUUGGCUUCGUGCGCAGCACAUUGCGUCGCGAUUCUGGCAGGCCUCCUCCCAUUAAGCUUCUUUUAAGUUUGACCUCGGAUCAGGUAGGGAUACCCGCUGAACUUAAGCAUAUCAAUAAGCGGAGGAAAAGAAACCAACAGGGAUUGCCCCAGUAACGGCGAGUGAAGCGGCAAUAGCUCAAAUUUGAAAUCUGGCUCUUUCAGGGUCCGAGUUGUAAUUUGCAGAGGGCGCUUUGGCGUCGGCAGCAGCCUAAGUUCCUUGGAACAGGUCAUCAUAGAGGGUGAGAAUCCCGUAUGUGGCUGCUUGUCUUCGCCGUGUAAAGCCCCUUCGAUGAGUCGAGUUGUUUGGGAAUGCAGCUCUAAAUGGGAGGUAAAUUUCUUCUAAAGCUAAAUAUUGGCCAGAGACCGAUAGCGCACAAGUAGAGUGAUCGAAAGAUGAAAAGCACUUUGGAAAGAGAGUCAAAAAGCACGUGAAAUUGUUGAAAGGGAAGCGCUUGCAGCCAGACGUGCCCGUAGUUGCUCAUCGGGGGUUCUCCCCCGUGUACUCUUCUAUGGGCAGGCCAGCAUCGGUCCGGGCGGUUGGAGAAAGACCUGUGUCAUGUAGCUGUUUUCGGGCAGUGUUAUAGGGCAGGUGGAAUGCAACCAGCCUGGACUGAGGUCCGCGCAUCUGCUAGGAUGCUGGCGUAAUGGCUGUAAGCGGCC
rnacentral:rRNA from 1 species